rnacentral:rRNA from 1 species
GACGGAGGAUGCAAGUGUUAUCCGGAAUCACUGGGCGUAAAGCGUUUGUAGGUGGUUUAAAAAGUCCACUGUUAAAAAUUGAAGCUUAACUUCAAAGAUGCCGUGGAAACUUUUAAACUUGAGUAUGGUAGGGGUAGAGGGAAUUUCCAGUGGAGCGGUGAAAUGCGUAGAUAUUGGAAAGACCACCAAUGGCGAAGGCACUCUACUGGGCCAUUACUGACACUGAGAGACGAAAGCUAGGGGAGCAAAUGGG